rnacentral:rRNA from 1 species
AAAGAUUUAUUGGUAUAGGAGGAGUCUGCGGCACAUUAGCUAGUAGGUGAGGUAAAGGCUUACCUAGGCGACGAUGUGUAGCCGGUCUGAGAGGAUGAACGGCCACAAUGGAACUGAGACACGGUCCAUACUCCUACGGGAGGCAGCAGUGGGGAAUAUUGCACAAUGGGGGAAACCCUGAUGCAGCAACGCCGCGUGAGUGAAAAAGGUUUUCGGAUUGUAAAGCUCUGUU